rnacentral:rRNA from 1 species
GACGAACGCUGGCGGCGUGCUUAACACAUGCAAGUCGAACGGAAAGGCCCUGCUUUUGUGGGGUGCUCGAGUGGCGAACGGGUGAGUAACACGUGAGUAACCUGCCCUUGACUUUGGGAUAACUUCAGGAAACUGGGGCUAAUACCGGAUAGGAGCUCCUGCUGCAUGGUGGGGGUUGGAAAGUUUCGGCGGUUGGGGAUGGACUCGCGGCUUAUCAGCUUGUUGGUGUGGUAGUGGCUUACCAAGGCUUUGACGGGUAGCCGGCCUGAGAGGGUGACCGGCCACAUUGGGACUGAGAUACGGCCCAGACUCCUACGGGAGGCAGCAGUGGGGAAUAUUGCACAAUGGGCGGAAGCCUGAUGCAGCAACGCCGCGUGCGGGAUGACGGCCUUCGGGUUGUAAACCGCUUUCGCAUGUGACGAAGCGUGAGUGACGGUAAUGGGUAAAGAAGCACCGGCUAACUACGUG